AUUGAACGCUGGCGGCAGGCCUAACACAUGCAAGUCGAACGGUAACAGGGAUCUUGCUCCUGGUUUCCUGGCCGGAGGCGGACGUAUUAGCUAUGACUCUGCAACUUCCUGGUGGAGGACGUCCGCUACCGGGCACUGUUGCCGAUAACGCCUAGCGUCGCAAGAUGAAAGAGGUUGGCAUUCGGCGCUAUCGCCUUCGCCUAUGCCGAGGUGGGAUUAGCUAGUAGGUGGGGUAAAGGCAUACCUAGGCGACGAUCCGUAACUGGUCUGAGAGGAUGACCAGCCACACUGGAACUGAGACACGGUCCAGACUCCUACGGGAGGCAGCAGUGGGGAAUAUUGGACAAUGGGCGAAAGCCUGAUCCAGCCAUGCCGCGUGUGUGAAGAAGGUCUUCGGAUUGUAAAGCACUUUAAGUUGGGAGGAAGGGCAGUAAGUUAAUACCUUGCUGUUUUGACGUUACCAACAGAAGAAGCACCGGCUAACUUCGUG
rnacentral:rRNA from 1 species